GGGCGGUUAGCUCAGCUGGUUAGAGCACACGGUUGACAUCCGUGAGGUCGCAGGUUCGAGCCCUGUAUCGCCCAC
rnacentral:tRNA from 1 species